ACUUCUUUAUCACCGAGUGCUUGCACUCACCGAUAAAGAGUUGAGUGGCGAACGGGUGAGUAACACGUGGGCAACCUGCCCAAAAGAGGGGGAUAACACUUGGAAACAGGUGCUAAUACCGCAUAACCAUAGUUACCGCAUGGUAACUAUGCAAAAGGUGGCUAUGCUACCGCUUUUGGAUGGGCCCGCGGCGCAUUAGCUAGUUGGUGGGGUAAAGGCUUACCAAGGCAAUGAUGCGUAGCCGAACUGAGAGGUUGAUCGGCCACAUUGGGACUGAGACACGGCCCAAACUCCUACGGGAGGCAGCAGUAGGGAAUCUUCCACAAUGGGCGAAAGCCUGAUGGAGCAACGCCGCGUGGGUGAAGAAGGUCUUCGGAUCGUAAAACCCUGUUGUUAGAGAAGAAAGUGCGUGAGAGUAACUGUUCACGUUUCGACGGUAUCUAACCAGAAAGCCACGGCUAACUACGUGCCAGCAGCCGCGGUAAUACGUAGGUGGCAAGCGUUAUCCGGAUUUAUUGGGCGUAAAGGGAACGCAGGCGGUCUUUUAAGUCUGAUGUGAAAGCCUUCGGCUUAACCGGAGUAGUGCAUUGGAAACUGGGAGACUUGAGUGCAGAAGAGGAGAGUGGAACUCCAUGUGUAGCGGUGAAAUGCGUAGAUAUAUGGAAGAACACCAGUGGCGAAAGCGGCUCUCUGGUCUGUAACUGACGCUGAGGUUCGAAAGCGUGGGUAGCAAACAGGAUUAGAUACCCUGGUAGUCCACGCCGUAAACG
rnacentral:rRNA from 1 species